AAGCGACUAAGCGUACACGGUGGAUGCCCUGGCAGUCAGAGGCGAUGAAGGGCGUACUAAUCUGCGAUAAGCGCCGGUAAGGUGAUAUGAACCGUUAUAACCGGCGAUACCCGAAUGGGGAAACCCAGUGUGAUUCGUCACACUAUCAUUAACUGAAUCCAUAGGUUAAUGAGGCGAACCGGGGGAACUGAAACAUCUAAGUACCCCGAGGAAAAGAAAUCAACCGAGAUUCCCCCAGUAGCGGCGAGCGAACGGGGAGGAGCCCAGAGCCUGAAUCAGCAUGUGUGUUAGUGGAAGCGUCUGGAAAGGCGCGCGAUACAGGGUGACAGCCCCGUACACAAAAGCGCAUGUGCUGUGAGCUCGAUGAGUAGGGCGGGACACGUGGUAUCCUGUCUGAAUAUGGGGGGACCAUCCUCCAAGGCUAAAUACUCCUGACUGACCGAUAGUGAACCAGUACCGUGAGGGAAAGGCGAAAAGAACCCCGGCGAGGGGAGUGAAAAAGAACCUGAAACCGUGUACGUACAAGCAGUGGGAGCACAGGUUUACCUGUGUGACUGCGUACCUUUUGUAUAAUGGGUCAGCGACUUAUAUUCUGUAGCAAGGUUAACCGAAUAGGGGAGCCGGAGGGAAACCGAGUCUUAAUUGGGCGUUAAGUUGCAGGGUAUAGACCCGAAACCCGGUGAUCUAGCCAUGGGCAGGUUGAAGGUUGGGUAACACUAACUGGAGGACCGAACCGACUAAUGUUGAAAAAUUAGCGGAUGACCUGUGGCUGGGGGUGAAAGGCCAAUCAAACCGGGAGAUAGCUGGUUCUCCCCGAAAGCUAUUUAGGUAGCGCCUCGUGAAUUCAUCUCCGGGGGUAGAGCACUGUUUCGGCUAGGGGGCCAUCCCGGCUUACCAACCCGAUGCAAACUGCGAAUACCGGAGAAUGUUAUCACGGGAGACACACGGCGGGUGCUAACGUCCGUCGUGAAGAGGGAAACAACCCAGACCGCCAGCUAAGGUCCCAAAGUCAUGGUUAAGUGGGAAACGAUGUGGGAAGGCCCAGACAGCCAGGAUGUUGGCUUAGAAGCAGCCAUCAUUUAAAGAAAGCGUAAUAGCUCACUGGUCGAGUCGGCCUGCGCGGAAGAUGUAACGGGGCUAAACCAUGCACCGAAGCUGCGGCAGCGACACUGUGUGUUGUUGGGUAGGGGAGCGUUCUGUAAGCCUGUGAAGGUGUGUCGUGAGGCAUGCUGGAGGUAUCAGAAGUGCGAAUGCUGACAUAAGUAACGAUAAAGCGGGUGAAAAGCCCGCUCGCCGGAAGACCAAGGGUUCCUGUCCAACGUUAAUCGGGGCAGGGUGAGUCGACCCCUAAGGCGAGGCCGAAAGGCGUAGUCGAUGGGAAACGGGUUAAUAUUCCCGUACUUGGUGUUACUGCGAAGGGGGGACGGAGAAGGCUAUGUUGGCCGGGCGACGGUUGUCCCGGUUUAAGCGUGUAGGUGUGUGUUCCAGGUAAAUCCGGUUCACUUUAACACUGAGGCGUGACGACGAGGCACUACGGUGCUGAAGCAACAAAUGCCCUGCUUCCAGGAAAAGCCUCUAAGCAUCAGGUAACAUCAAAUCGUACCCCAAACCGACACAGGUGGUCAGGUAGAGAAUACCAAGGCGCUUGAGAGAACUCGGGUGAAGGAACUAGGCAAAAUGGUGCCGUAACUUCGGGAGAAGGCACGCUGACACGUAGGUGAAGUGAUUUACUCAUGGAGCUGAAGUCAGUCGAAGAUACCAGCUGGCUGCAACUGUUUAUUAAAAACACAGCACUGUGCAAACACGAAAGUGGACGUAUACGGUGUGACGCCUGCCCGGUGCCGGAAGGUUAAUUGAUGGGGUCAGCGCAAGCGAAGCUCCUGAUCGAAGCCCCGGUAAACGGCGGCCGUAACUAUAACGGUCCUAAGGUAGCGAAAUUCCUUGUCGGGUAAGUUCCGACCUGCACGAAUGGCGUAAUGAUGGCCAGGCUGUCUCCACCCGAGACUCAGUGAAAUUGAACUCGCUGUGAAGAUGCAGUGUACCCGCGGCAAGACGGAAAGACCCCGUGAACCUUUACUAUAGCUUGACACUGAACAUUGAGCCUUGAUGUGUAGGAUAGGUGGGAGGCUUUGAAGUGUGGACGCCAGUCUGCAUGGAGCCGACCUUGAAAUACCACCCUUUAAUGUUUGAUGUUCUAACGUGGACCCGUUACCCGGGUUGCGGACAGUGUCUGGUGGGUAGUUUGACUGGGGCGGUCUCCUCCUAAAGAGUAACGGAGGAGCACGAAGGUUGGCUAAUCCUGGUCGGACAUCAGGAGGUUAGUGCAAUGGCAUAAGCCAGCUUGACUGCGAGCGUGACGGCGCGAGCAGGUGCGAAAGCAGGUCAUAGUGAUCCGGUGGUUCUGAAUGGAAGGGCCAUCGCUCAACGGAUAAAAGGUACUCCGGGGAUAACAGGCUGAUACCGCCCAAGAGUUCAUAUCGACGGCGGUGUUUGGCACCUCGAUGUCGGCUCAUCACAUCCUGGGGCUGAAGUAGGUCCCAAGGGUAUGGCUGUUCGCCAUUUAAAGUGGUACGCGAGCUGGGUUUAGAACGUCGUGAGACAGUUCGGUCCCUAUCUGCCGUGGGCGCUGGAGAACUGAGGGGGGCUGCUCCUAGUACGAGAGGACCGGAGUGGACGCAUCACUGGUGUUCGGGUUGUCAUGCCAAUGGCACUGCCCGGUAGCUAAAUGCGGAAGAGAUAAGUGCUGAAAGCAUCUAAGCACGAAACUUGCCCCGAG
rnacentral:rRNA from 1 species